GAGAAACCACACCCCUUUUAUGAGGGACUCAUUUGGGAAUUUUACAUCAAUUUUAAUAGUGAGAUAGAUAUCCCAAGUUCAGUGGAUCUACAUCAAACAAAGGUGAGAGACAACUGGAUUAUGUUCUCACCUGAGAUCAUAAAUGACUACUAUUAGCUGAUUUGGGAGAAUGUUGUGCCAAUUCUUGAGAAUUUCAAUUGGAAUGGGUAUUUGUUGAUAAACUACUUUAGAAUACGGAUAAUUCUAUGUAAAUUGUGUUUUGCAGGAUAGCAUUGAUGAAUAUGAUGAAAUUAAAGAAAACAGCCAAAAAGGACCAAAAUGGAGGAAAAUCAAAGUUCAAUGACCAAAUUGUAAAUCAUCGAAAGAUGAUCUAGCAAAAGAGAUGAAGAGCGAAUGAAUAAAGUCUUGAAAGGAAAAAAUGUGGGAAAAGAGAUCAAAGAACAAGAAAGCAGAGUUUAGGGACUAAAAUGCAAAUUUAAAAUUUUAUGAACAGUUGUCUGGUCGCAUUGCAACAUAUGCAUUAUCAUAGCCAUUUCGCAGAGAAAAAAUAUGUCUUCCUUACACAACUCAACUCUCGCGAAAACAAUCUUGGAGGUGUCUUUUAAGGCCUAAGGCUGCCUAGAGACAAAGAAAGGACAUAUCAGGACCAAUUGAAGAGCAUAGAAGGUGGCGAGAAACAUCAAGAACAAUUCCAAGACAUCAAGAUCCAACUCAAUACAUAUUUUGGGUGAUGUCAAUAUUUUAUAAUUCUUAUUUUCUUCUUGAUGCCAUGUUAUGCUAGAUUUCUUUGCGUUAGGAGAAUGAUGAAUCUUAUAAUAUGAGUUUUUAAUCUUUAGUUUUAUAUACUUCACAUUAAAGACAUGUUACUAUUAUUAAAUGAUAUACAUGAUUAUA
rnacentral:lncRNA from 1 species